rnacentral:misc_RNA from 1 species
CCAACAGCAACAGAACCGGCACCGGCUUCGAAGGGCUGCAGUUGCGAUCGGAUGAUCGACGAGUACGCGUCUGUUGUGCGCACCGUUGUGUGUUCGCCCGGAAUGUCAGGUGUCUUCUCGACUUUCGUCGUCGCCUAUCCUCGGUGAAUCGGCGCGACAGCGGGGCUGAAGCUUUGGAUCAAAGAACGGGAACGAGCAAUGUUCACGAAGAUACGCGAGGCUGGCGUAAUCGACAGACGUGCCACAUCGCACGGGGUCGCCGGGACUCUACAGUAGCUGAGAGGCGCCGGUGAGAUUUCCGCGUCGCAUCAAAGGAGGAUCGGGGUGGUCCAGGAGGGAAAAAUUAAGUCUGGUGGAGGAGAGCAGGAAGUGGGGCCGGUGCUGGCCACCGGGACGCUCCUCGGUCUUUUCCGCUUCAGGAUGUCGUACGCCAAUCGAUUCCCGUCCUCGCAGCACACCCGUUAUCGCAGCAGCUGGGGUCCAUCCUCAGUCACUGUGUUCAAUCGAGCCGACGUGCCCAGGCCCUCGCCGGAAGAGGAAGAGUACGCCGAGUUCUAUCACGAGCGUCUGCACUCGGCCCAGAGCAGACAGUUGCUGCCGUUGCAGGAGGACCUCGCCGAUUGGAUCAAUAAAACGUUGAGCUCCGAAAUCGUGUCAGGAGACAACUUCUUUGAUGCACUGGACAAUGGCGUAGUGGUGUGUCGACUGGCCAGGGUCAUACAGGAAAAGGCGAGGACGGCGAUUGACGCUGGAAGAGCGAAAGGGCCAAUGCCGGUGAUAAGAGGGCGCUGCUGGGAGAACGCAGCGCGCCGCAGCUUCUUCUCUCGUGACAACAUGGAGAACUUCAUACAAUUCUGCAGGCGUUUGGGCGUCCACGAGAAUCUCCUAUUCGAGAGCGACGAUCUCGUUCUACACGGACAACCACGGAACGUGGUGUUGUGCCUGCUGGAGGUAGCCCGGCUGGCGUCCAGGUACUCCGUCGAACCACCUGGACUCGUGCAGCUCGAGAGGGAAAUCGCUGCCGAACAAGAGCGAGAUCUUCACUGUCUGUCCGAUAGCGGUAUAUCCCACAGCAGCCUGGUUUCUUGGCAAUUUCAAUCACCGUCCCCGACCGCGACGCCCAGACCCACGCCAGAGAAGAUCAAACACAGCAGCUCAGCAUCGGAAGUCGCAUUGACGGCGACGAGAUGGCUGGACCCGACCACUGAUGUGACGCACGAGCCCGAGAUGAGAAGGUCGGUGAGCGACAAUGGACCAGCGGGUAGCGAUGGCGUACCCAGCGACACGACGGAGGACGACUGGUCCCGAGGAAGCGCCGAGGACCCAGACGAGGUCCCAUCGCCAUCGAGUUCACCUUUGUCCUCGCCGGCCGAGCCGCCGGAACACACGGGUCCCAUAACGGAACUCGAUCGCAAGGUAAGGCGAGCCACAGAGGCCGUGCAGAGACUCUGCCAGUGCCCCUCUGAGAGAUGUUCCAAACUGAAGGUGCGUAAGGUUGGCGAAGGACGGUACCAUAUCGCUGGACGAAAUGUCUUUAUCAGGCUUUUGAAGGGGAGACACAUGAUGGUCAGAGUGGGCGGGGGCUGGGACACCUUGGAGCAUUUCUUGGCGAGGCACGACCCCUGUCAGGUGAGGACCCUCAACCGCGAGAGCACGCCGCCUUCACUCCACGGCAACAAGCACACCAACUUUCUUCCCAUUCGCGCAAAGUAUCGCAGCCCUCCGCCAGAAUCCGUCUCGGCCCGCUAGCCUAAAAGCACAGUGCCUGUUUACAAGUCCACGCUACUUCACGUUCAUGCUGCUGUUGGUUCGUUUCGUACAAGUAGAGAGACACACGUGACAGAUAGUUCGACAGAGUGGCCAACUUUCGUUCCGUAUUUUUGUUCGGAUCGUAGAAGCACACGAGACUGCAGGGUUACCAUGCUGAUAGGCAAACCGCGAAAAUAUCAGACGCCUAGUUCUUUAUGGCGCUCACAGAGGUCGGUAGCGCCUUCGAGAAGUCUCACCUUCCUUCUUUCCAACCGCUGUCAAUGGUGCGUUGAUGAUAUCGAGGGAUCCGUUAGUUCUGCCAGGUGUCGUUGGAAAAACUAUCAGCUAAGAAAUAGACGGGAGGGCAAUGCACCUGGUAGAGGUAGACGUAAGACCGCAAUGACCAAAGUUCGUAAUGGUAUGUCGAAACGAUCACGGGCAAUAAUGGCUUAUCGGAAUGUCGUUUGCAUCGAAGAUAACGACCAACAAUCUGUCUGCUGCGAUUCGAACAAGCUGCUUCGAAGUCGACCCAUGCGUGUAAUUAGAAGAAAGUGCAAUUAAGGACUCAGGUAACAUUUUAAAUCGAGCUUGACGGGCUAAAUAGAACUACAGGAAAUUGUGUUUUCCAAUUGAACGACUCCGUCUUUUGUAGAAAUGCAAACCUUUAAAGGAUAGGUAAUCGUUUAUGAGAUUGUGGGGUUACUAUCUAUUUUAUGAGCAAACGAGAAAAGGGUGAAGCAAAUAUAUAAUAAUUAUUACUUAUUUGUACUUGGUCAUUGCUGCGGCCCACAGGGGCGAAUCUCGUAGUGCACUUAAUUAUCUCUCGCGAUAAGCAAUGUAAGGCACAUAGAUUGUAACAAAUAACAGGGUCGGUUACAUCGAUUAAUAGUACGCUUAAAAUAUAUGAUCAUCUAUUGUCAGAUUAUUAUAAAAGAGUGUCAAUUGAUUGACACGAAUCAUUACCAUCGUGUUAGAGGUGUAUUUAAACUUCAUUCAUUAUCUCAAAGAUAAAUUAUCUUUUUAUACUGUUUUUGUAUCUACCGACCCUGGCGAUAAUUCUUACACUUUGGCACAUAAUCGAUACGUAUUAAAUCGGCUAACAUGCAAAAUGCUUCACGAUAACUGCCAUAAUAUAUGUUUUGUACUUUUAUAAUAAAUACGUAGGAUAAGGAGUAACAAAGAACAUAUUGUAUCGAAAUUACAAGACGACGUGUGUUUAUUCGGUUCACAGAAAUGC